rnacentral:rRNA from 1 species
AGGACGAACGCUGGCGGCGCGCUUAACACAUGCAAGUCGAGCGAGAACCAGGACUUCGGUCCUGGGGACAGCGGCGAACGGGUGAGUAACACGUGGAUAACCUGCCCUCGGCACCGGGAUAGCCCGAGGAAACUCGGAUUAAUACCGGAUAGCCCUUCCGACUCUCGAGUCGGUCCGAAAAGGUAGCUUCGGCCUCUGGCCGAGGAUGGGUCCGCGGCGGAUUAGCUUGUUGGUGGGUAACGCCUACAAGGCUUCGAUCCGUAGCUGGUCUGAGAGGACGAUCAGCCACACUGGGACUGAGACACGGCCCAGACUCCUACGGGAGGCAGCAGUGGGAAUAUUGCACAAUGGGCGAAAGCCUGAUGCAGCGACGCCGCGUGAGGAUGACGGCUUCGGUGUAAACCUCUUUCAGCAGGAAGAAGCGAAAGUGACGGUACUGCAGAAGAAGCACCGGCUAACGUACGUGCCAGCAGCCGC